GACGAACGCUGGCGGCGUGCUUAACACAUGCAAGUCGAGCGGUAAGGCCCUUUCGGGGGUACGACGAGCGGCGAACGGGUGAGUAACACGUGGGUGACCUGCCCUCAGCUCUGGGAUAAGCCUGGGAAACCGGGGUACUAAUACUGGAUAUGACUCCAUGACGCAUGUUGUGGGGUGGAAAGCCUUGUGCGGCUGAGGAUGGGCCCGCGGCCUAUCAGCUUGUUGGUGGGGUGGAUGGCCUACCAAGGCGACGACGGGUAGCCGGCCUGAGAGGGCGA
rnacentral:rRNA from 1 species